UUUCUCAUUAGCCGCGUUAACAUGAAUGCGACAGUGGCGCAUCGCAUCGCAUGGAAAUGCGCUUGGAAAUGCGAUGCGCCACGGUCGCAUUCAUGUAAACUGGGCUCAUGAGUUCCACCUCCAAAGCCUAUAAUCAUCCCGGGUCAGCCUACGCGCUGCGAGAUGAAGGCUUUUUUCAAGACCGGCGAACGCUGCGUGCAGAAGCUGGCCAUCGCGACAGAAGGUUUACGCUGCUCGAAGCGCGGUGGCGCGUUGCUAUCAGCUGCGCCGAUGAGCCCCAAGCAAGUGGAACUGCUGAGGACGAGGACAGCGACGAUGAAGCUACACCAUUCACACGCCGUACGAAGCGAUUCAAGAAACGGAAGCGGCUAUUGAAGGUUCUGGCUCCAAAACAGCAGGCCCCCUUUCGACCGCCAUGCCGCGAGCCCUUCACCAGCCUUGCGGGACUAUGCAUCGUUCCGCCAACGGCGCUUGCGCUACUAUGACAGCAUCCACCACAAGUUCCACAUCAGUGAGUCAGCAGCGCGAGGCUGUGUUUACCGGCGUGCAGACUGCAAUGCUGCACGUGCAGCUUCCAAGAAUGCAGAGUGGCCCCCUGGGAACAACUCGACACAGCAAUCACUUGCACCUGCUGGUUUUGACUUCCAGUUUCGGUGCCAGGUGCCUGAAUACGAGCGUGCUGCCACAAAGGCAGCCAGCAAAUCAAAGAUGGCAAGGCUGCCAAGGUGAAGUCCAGCACCACCAGGAAUGCAACAGGAACGUGCGAGAGCUCCGUGGCAACUAAGGCACUGAAGAAUCCAAGCCAGCAGAGCGCCUACUGUGGCAAAGUCAGCACUGGCUACACUGUCCCUGCAAAGUUAGUGGAUGUCCUGGGGAGACGGAUGUCUUGCACAUUCCAGCUGGCGUUCCCAACGUGCCUUCGCACAGACGAAGAAUCCCUCUUCAUUUAAACACUGUCUGAUAAUUGGGAAGCCUUUCACCCGCAUACCAACGUGCUGUGGCUUUGUUACUUGCUGACGAAGUUCCAGAAUUUCCCAAGGAAAAGCAGGUCGCGGAGGUCUUGGGCCGUCCGCUUCUCACGACCAACUAGCCGCCUGCAUGGACGUGAUCCUGUCUUUUCUGUUGGCCGAGCAGCUUGUGGUCGAACAGGUCCUUCCACACUUCGAAUGCGACGCCAAGGCAUCGUAUAUAAUUAUAAUUUGUUUGGAAGAUUGCAUGCCACAAUUUCAACUUGGCAACUUUUACUUUCUUAAAUUGUUUCGUCGAAUACAGAUAUUCAUCUAUUCACUUUUAUGUUAAUUUUAUGUUUUAAUUAUGUAUUGCGAUUUUAUUUAUUCAUGGAAUAAAGAUAACAUGGAUGC